UACAGAGGUCUCAAGCGUUGUUCGGAUUCAUUGGGCGUAAAGGGUGUGUAGGUGGCGCCGUAAGUCGGGUGUGAAAUUUCGGAGCUUAACUCCGAAACUGCAUUCGAUACUGCGGUGCUUGAGGACUGGAGAGGAGACUGGAAUUCAUGGUGUAGCAGUGAAAUGCGUAGAGAUCAUGAGGAAGACCAGUGGCGAAGGCGGGUCUCUGGGCCGAUACUGACGCUGAGGAGCGAAAGUGUGGGGAGCGAACAGG
rnacentral:rRNA from 1 species